rnacentral:rRNA from 1 species
GACGAACGCUGGCGGCGUGCUUAACACAUGCAAGUCGAACGGAAAGGCCCUGCUUUUGUGGGGUGCUCGAGUGGCGAACGGGUGUGUAACACGUGAGUAACCUGCCCUUGACUUUGGGAUAACUUCAGGAAACUGGGGCUAAUACCGGAUAGGAGCUCCUGCUGCAUGGUGGGGGUUGGAAAGUUUCGGCGGUUGGGGAUGGACUCGCGGCUUAUCAGCUUGUUGGUGGGGUAGUGGCUUACCAAGGCUUUGACGGGUAGCCGGCCUGAGAGGGUGACCGGCCACAUUGGGACUGAGAUACGGCCCAGACUCCUACGGGAGGAAGCAGUGGGGAAUAUUGCACAAUGGGCGGAAGCCUGAUGCAGCAACGCCGCGUGCGGGAUGACGGCCUUCGGGUUGUAAACCGCUUUCGCCUGUGACGAAGCGUGAGUGACGGUAAUGGGUAAAGAAGCACCGGCUAACUACGUG